rnacentral:misc_RNA from 1 species
CUGGGAGAGCGCCUGCUUUGCAAGCAGGAUGUCGUCGGUUCGAUCCCGUCCGGCUCCACCAACCAUCUUUCAUGAAGAUGGGGCGUGUAGAGUAGAGAUGGUGAGAAAAAAGUCAUUCGAAAAAGAGUUUGCGUCGAGCCCUGUGCUCUGCGCCUGUUCUGUUUGACAUCGUAAAGAGAAGAUUUGUUCGAACUUCAUGAGCCGCAAGGUCUCAUGAUUUGUCGCAAGGGACGCUCAAUCCCUUGCCUAUGAUGGGUUUGCCUAACCGCGCCCUCGAACGGAUCUCGAGAAGCUGGUCUUUUUGUGCCAAUUCCAUUGAAGCAGGUCCCGCACAGGAUCUGGUUCGAGGCGACGAUCCUUCGGAUCGCGCUUAGCCAAUCCCGCGAGGGCGAGGCUGAAGCGACGAUCCCUGCGGGAUCGCGCGAUGAUGGGUAUUGGCAAUGAGAACGAUCAAGUGUCUUAAGGGCAAUUGGUGGAUGCCUUGGCAUGCACAGGCGAUGAAGGACGUGAUACGCUGCGAUAAGCUACGGGGAGGUGCGAAUACCCUUUGAU